rnacentral:rRNA from 1 species
UGUCGCUAUAGGAUGGGCCCGCGGCGCAUUAGCUAGUUGGUGAGGUAACGGCUCACCAAGGCAACGAUGCGUAGCCGACCUGAGAGGGUGAUCGGCCACACUGGGACUGAGACACGGCCCAGACUCCUACGGGAGGCAGCAGUAGGGAAUCUUCCACAAUGGGCGAAAGCCUGAUGGAGCAACGCCGCGUGAGUGAAGAAGGAUUUCGGUUCGUAAAACUCUGUUGUAAGGGAAGAACAAGUACAGUAGUAACUGGCUGUAC